rnacentral:rRNA from 1 species
AACAGGAUUAGAUACCCUGGUAGUCCACGCCGUAAACGUUGGGCGCUAGAUGUAGGGACCUUUCCACGGUUUCUGUGUCGUAGCUAACGCAUUAAGCGCCCCGCCUGGGGAGUACGGCCGCAAGGCUAAAACUCAAAGGAAUUGACGGGGGCCCGCACAAGCGGCGGAGCAUGCGGAUUAAUUCGAUGCAACGCGAAGAACCUUACCAAGGCCUGACAUACACCGGAAACGGCCAGAGAUGGUCGCCCCCUUGUGGUCGGUGUACAGGUGGUGCAUGGUUGUCGUCAGCUCGUGUCGUGAGAUGUUGGGUUAAGUCCCGCAACGAGCGCAACCCUCGUUCUAUGUUGCCAGCGCGUUAUGGCGGGGACUCAUAGGAGACUGCCGGGGUCAACUCGGAGGAAGGUGGGGAUGACGUCAAAUCAUCAUGCCCCUUAUGUCUUGGGCUUCACGCAUGCUACAAUGGCCGGUACAAAGGGCUGCGAUACCGUAAGGUGGAGCGAAUCCCAAAAAGCCGGUCUCAGUUCGGAUUGAGGUCUGCAACUCGACCUCAUGAAGUCGGAGUCGCUAGUAAUCGCAGAUCAGCAACGCUGCGGUGAAUACGUUCCCGGGCCUUGUACACACCGCCCGUCAAGUCAUGAAAGUCGGUAACACCCGAAGCCGGUGGCCUAACCCUUGUGGAAGGAGCCGUCGAAGGUGGGAUCGGUGAUUAGGACUAAGUCGUAACAAGGUAGCCGUACCGGAAGGUGCGGCUGGAUCACCUCCUU